UACGAAGGGGGCUAGCGUUGCUCGGAAUUACUGGGCGUAAAGCGUGCGCAGGCGGUUUUGUAAGCCAGAUGUGAAAUCCCCGGGCUUAACCUGGGAACUGCAUUUGUGACUGCAUGGCUGGAGUGCGGCAGAGGGGGAUGGAAUUCCGCGUGUAGCAGUGAAAUGCGUAGAGAUGUGGAGGAACACCGAUGGCGAAGGCAGCCCCCUGGGCUAACACUGACGCUCAUGCACGAAAGCGUGGGGAGCAAACAGG
rnacentral:rRNA from 1 species